rnacentral:misc_RNA from 1 species
GGAAAAUCUCUCGCACUCAAAAAGCGCCCUUUCGUAACAGCAUAAACAUCCCCAUUGCCGGCGGCGAACCGUUCUGAGAUCGGAGGUCAACGCGAUGGCCGAUCACGCCGGCGAGAACGACUCAUUUGUUGAUUCGGUAACGGACAAGGUCAACGAUAAGUUUCACAGCCACGAUUAUUCGUCGGAUUCUGAUGACGACAAGGGUAAAAAAUCGCCGGUUAACGCUGUUAAGACUAAGAUCUACCGUCUUUUCGGUAGAGAAAAGCCCGUCCACAAGGUUCUAGGCGGUGGAAAACCCGCUGACGUUUUCCUAUGGCGGGACAAGAAAGUUACAGCUGGCGUGCUUGGUUUUGCCACUGUUAUCUGGGCGCUUUUUGAGUUGCUUGAAUACCACUUGCUCACACUUGUUUGCCAUAUUCUAAUUGUUGCUGUAGCAGUACUUUUCCUGUGGUCCAAUGCAUCGGCGUUCAUCAACACGGCUCCACCUCACAUUCCAGAAGUUGUUCUACCUAAGGAUAUUGUCCUUAGUGUUGCAUCUGCAUUGAGGAUUGAAAUCAAUAGGGCCCUUGAGAUCCUACGGGAUAUUGCAUCUGGGAAAGACUUGAAGAAGUUCCUUGUUGUCAUUGUUGGCUUGUGGAUUGUUUCUAUAUUGGGGAAUAUCUGGAACUUCCUCACCUUGUUUUACAUAGUUUUUGUAUUACUGCAUACUGUCCCUGUGCUCUAUGAGAAGCAUGAGGACAAGGUUGAUGCUGUUGCUGAGAAAGCAGAGGCAGAGAUCAAGAAGCAUUAUGCUGUUUUUGACGCCAAUGUUCUUAGCAAAAUUCCAAGAGGUCCACUUAAAGGCAAAAAGCAAUAGAGACUAAUACGUGGUGUCACUAUGUUCAUAUUGGAGUUUUCCAGAUGUUGCGACUUCCUUUGGUAGAGCCCUUUAGUUACUGGCUUUGCUUUAUAACACGAUUUUUAUUUAAACGAGUAUGGCAUAUUGUGAGGUAGUUUUGAUUUCCACAUUUAGUUUUGGCUUUCUUUAUAGUUAAAUUGUGAAAGACUGCUGUAUGAUCUAUUGGCAGUCGUGGACUGCUUUGCCUUAUUCAAAUUGAGUUUUCAGCCAUGAUAAAUAAAGGA